UAGCUCAGUGGUUAAGAGCACUGACUGCUCUUCCAGAGGUCCUGAGUUCAAAUCUCAG
rnacentral:tRNA from 1 species